CGAAAGCGUGGGGAGCAAACAGGAUUAGAUACCCUGGUAGUCCACGCCCUAAACGAUGUCAACUAGUUGUUGGGGAUUCAUUUCCUUAGUAACGUAGCUAACGCGUGAAGUUGACCGCCUGGGGAGUACGGUCGCAAGAUUAAAACUCAAAGGAAUUGACGGGGACCCGCACAAGCGGUGGAUGAUGUGGAUUAAUUCGAUGCAACGCGAAAAACCUUACCUACCCUUGACAUGCCACUAACGAAGCAGAGAUGCAUUAGGUGC
rnacentral:rRNA from 1 species